GGCUCAGUGGUUCAAUGGUAAAGCGCUAGACGUUGAGCUAGAGGGUUCUGGGUUCGAUCCCCGACAGGGUCG
rnacentral:tRNA from 1 species